rnacentral:rRNA from 1 species
GACGAACGCUGGCGGCGUGCCUAAUACAUGCAAGUCGAACGGUCUUUUCUAUGGAAGCUUGCUUCCGCUGAGAAGAUAGUGGCGAACGGGUGAGUAAUAUGUAGGAAUAUACCUAUAGGUGGGGGAUAACUACUCGAAAGAGUAGCUAAUACCGCAUAAUAUCUACGGAUUAAAGCAGGGGAUCGCAAGACCUUGUGCCAAUAGAAUAGCCUACAUCCGAUUGGCUAGUUGGUAGAGUAAAAGCCUACCAAGGCAACGAUCGGUAACUGGUCUGAGAGGAUGAUCAGUCACACUGGAACUGAGACACGGUCCAGACUCCUACGGGAGGCAGCAGUGGGGAAUUUUGGACAAUGGGCGAAAGCCUGAUCCAGCAAUGCCGCGUGGGUGAAGAAGGCCUUCGGGUUGUAAAGCCCUUUCGGAUAGAAAGAAAACUCUUACUCUAACAUAGUGAGAGAAUGACGGUACUAUCAUAAGAAGCACCGGCUAACUACGUGCCAGCAGCCGCGGUAACAC